rnacentral:rRNA from 1 species
UACUUGGUGUGAAUUGCAGAAUCCCGUGAACCAUSGAGUCUUUGAACGCAAGUUGCGCCUGAAGCUUUUAGCCGAGGGCACGUUUGCCUGGGUGUCACA